UUCUGUAAGCCGUUGAAGGUGUCCUGUGAGGGGUGCUGGAGGUAUCAGAAGUGCGAAUGCUGACAUAAGUAACGAUAAAGCGGGUGAAAAGCCCGCUCGCCGGAAGACCAAGGGUUCCUGUCCAACGUUAAUCGGGGCAGGGUGAGUCGACCCCUAAGGCGAGGCCGAAAGGCGUAGUCGAUGGGAAACGGGUUAAUAUUCCCGUACUUGGUGUUACUGCGAAGGGGGGACGGAGAAGGCUAUGUUGGCCGGGCGACGGUUGUCCCGGUUUAAGCGUGUAGGUGUGUGUUCCAGGUAAAUCCGGUUCACUUUAACACUGAGGCGUGAUGACGAGGCACCACGGUGCUGAAGCAACAAAUGCCCUGCUUCCAGGAAAAGCCUCUAAGCAUCAGGUAACAUCAAAUCGUACCCCAAACCGACACAGGUGGUCAGGUAGAGAAUACCAAGGCGCUUGAGAGAACUCGGGUGAAGGAACUAGGCAAAAUGGUGCCGUAACUUCGGGAGAAGGCACGCUGACACGUAGGUGAAGUGAUUUACUCAUGGAGCUGAAGUCAGUCGAAGAUACCAGCUGGCUGCAACUGUUUAUUAAAAACACAGCACUGUGCAAACACGAAAGUGGACGUAUACGGUGUGACGCCUGCCC
rnacentral:rRNA from 1 species